GCUGGCGUCAUCGCAUUGUUAGUCCGCUCUCUGUGGGGCUUCCCGUUUAAAAAGUUGCCUGAUAUGACUUCUAAAUACAUAUUUACUUAACGUGUUAACAGCAUGGUUAGUAGAAUCCUCUAACAAUCACGUUUCCUCACUACGUGGCUGCAUUUGCAGAAUUUUCUAGAAGUAAGAUAUAUCCAGGUAUAAUUCAUCUCGCCAUCGUUGUUAAAUCUGGAAAAAAGUUGAGCAAUUGUAAGUGGAGGACGUAAUCUUUUCAAGUUCCUGAAUGGAGCCAAUUUCCCGUGGAAAUUAUAAAAUUAAUUACACUUACAUAUUUUAGUAGUUUUGGAAAACGGUGGUUUUCAACUGAGGUCAAAUUUGAAAUAUUAAACAUGGCUGAGUGCUGGAUGGGGUCAAGUUGCAGAAUGACAAAAAUACAAUGGAUAGUUCUUAUCAUUUUUCCUGCGGUAUUUGGACAUCCAAACCCUUACAUCUUGAUGCCCCCAUUUAGAAACGUCCCAAAAAUUCCCACCGUGGGGAUGAAUGUCCGACCAGCUCAGAUUCCUGAAAUUCUCAGAUCACAAUCUCAGACGUUUCACGGCCCAAUUAUA